GCUCCAAACACCAGCUGGGAUUCCAAAGCAAAAGUCUUACCUCCCUGGGUGUUUGAGUCAUCCUGAAGGCAGCAUGUGCUACUGAUGAGAGCUCGGGAUUGGAAUCAUGAAUGGUCUUGGAUUCCAAUCCUGCCAUGUGUCAGCUGUGUAUCACCGACGACAACAGAGAAUGCUUCUGUCUUGCUUUUGUCAACUGUAAGAUGACGUUCACAACAGUGCCAGCGCUACCACGGCCACAAUAGAGUCAGCUGUACUCAAGACAGAGGAAGACGCCAUGAUGUCAACUGUACUGAUGGAUACCUAGGAAUCUAAGAUGAGGGCUGGGGAGAUGGCUCAGGUGGCAAAGU